CUGGCCGUGGCUCAGCUUGGUAGAGUGCUUGCCUGGGGGGCAAGAGAUCGCUGGUUCAAAUCCAGUCGGCCAGACCA
rnacentral:tRNA from 1 species